rnacentral:rRNA from 1 species
UAUGUAGGCAGCAAGCGUUGUUCGGAGUUACGGGGCGUAAAGAGUAUGUAGGCGGUUGCGUAAGUUCGGUGUGAAAUCUCCCGGCUUAACUGGGAGGGUGCGCCGAAAACUGCGUGGCUAGAGUGCGGGAGAGGAGAGCGGAAUUCCUGGUGUAGCGGUGAAAUGCGUAGAUAUCAGGAGGAACACCGGCGGUGUAGACGGCUCUCUGGACCGUUACUGACGCUGAGAUACGAAAGCGUGGGUAGCAAACAGG